UCUUCUGUGUUGAAGUUAGUGGAACUCUCCUGUGUCAGUUGCAAAAGGUUUUGUUGUUGUUGGUUUUGAUUUCAUUUUCAGGAAAUGAUAACAUGGCUGAAGCUGCAGAAAAUUCUGAACUGAGUGCAUUAAAAAUGGAAAAUGAACAGUUUGAAUGUUCAGCUGCUGUCAACGAUUCAUUACCUAAUAACGUGGAAAUAACAGACAAAGAUGCUCAACCAACAACAGAAACUCCAAAUUGCAGUACUGCAGAUACCCCAAAAGAAUGCGUACCGUUUAAAGUAGUAUUUAAUAAACAGAAAUUUGAUGUCGAGUUUGAUUUGGAUAAAACAAUCAGCCAGGUGAAGAGCAGCAUUGAAAAAAUUAUUGGUGUUCCUGCUACCAUGCAAAAAAUUAUGUUUAAAGGUUUAGCAAGAGAUGAUAUGACAUUGCGGGAGCUAAAAGUUACCAAAGGUGCCAAAAUGCUUGUGGUUGGUUCCACUUUAACUGAUGUUCUUUCUGUGAGUACUCCCACAGGGGAAGAUAAAGAUGAAACCAAAGAGGCUGCCACUUCAAAAGAGCCUUUAUCUCAACAAAAGGUACAUAAAAAGGUGUUGGAGAAAUAUAAUAAGCCUGAGGAUGUGCUGCCAGGCUUUCAGGGCAAGAAAUAUCCACUGCCUUCUCAACCAAUUUCCGGAAUGUACAAUAAGUCUGGCGGGAAAGUACGGCUUACCUUUAAAUUAGAACUUGAUCAAUUAUGGAUAGGUACAAAAGAAAGAACUGAUAAAAUUCCCAUGAAUACCAUUAAAGCUGUUGUCACAGAAGCUUUAGAAGGACACGAAGAUUAUCAUAUAAUGCAACAAGCAGCCCAGACAGGUUUAUGUGGAAAACUGGAAGCAAACAACACUGUAUGCUAACAGAGAUCAUGCGACAUGUCGAGACAUAUUGAGAAGCCCGGACAUGCUUUUUUUGGUGAACUGGUGGGAGCCAUUGUAUACAAACCAGCAAAUGGAAUUCAGCUUGGAACAACUGAAGCAUCUCGUUAUUGGGUGUACUGGGUUCCAGCUCAGUAUGUAGAUGCCAUUAAAGAUGCUAUCC
rnacentral:misc_RNA from 1 species